UGGCAUCCGGGAUGCGGCUCUCUCCCGAC
rnacentral:sRNA from 1 species